GUGAAGUGAGCAUGUACAGCAAGUGAAGUGAGCAUGUACCUCAAGUGAAGUGAGCAUGUACCUCAAUUGAAGUGAGCAUGUACAGCAAGUGAAGUGAGCAUGUACCUCAAGUGAAGUGAGCAUGUACCUCAAGUGAAGUGAGCAUGUACCUCAAUUGAAGUGAGCAUGUACAGCAAGUGAAGUGAGCAUGUACCUCAAUUGAAGUGAACAUGUACAGCAAGUGAAGUGAGCAUGUACCUCAAGUGAAGUGAGCAUGUACAGCAAGUGAAGUGAGCAUGUACAGCAAGUGAAGUGAGCAUGUACAACAAGUGAAGUGAGCAUGUACCUCAAGUGAAGUGAGCACGUGCCUCAAGUGAAGUAAGCAUGUACCUCAAUUGAAGUGAGCAUGUACAACAAGUGAAGUAAGCAUGUACCUCAAGUGAAGUGAGCAUGUACCUCAAGUGAAGUGAGCAUGUACUUCAAGUGAAGUGAGCAUGUACAGCAAGUGAAGUGAGUAUGUACAGCAAGUGAAGUGAGCAUGUACCUCAAGUGAAGUGAGCAUGUACAGCAAGUGAAGUGAGCAUGUACA